rnacentral:rRNA from 1 species
UACAGAGGUCCCAAGCGUUGUUCGGAUUCAUUGGGCGUAAAGGGUGUGUAGGUGGCGCCGUAAGUCAGGUGUGAAAUCUCGGGGCUUAACUCCGAAACUGCAUUUGAUACUGCGGUGCUUGAGGACUGGAGAGGAGACUGGAAUUCAUGGUGUAGCAGUGAAAUGCGUAGAGAUCAUGAGGAAGACCAGUGGCGAAGGCGGGUCUCUGGACAGUUCCUGACACUGGGACACGAAGGCCAGGGGAGCAGACGGG